rnacentral:tRNA from 1 species
UCAUCGGUGGCUUAGUGGUAGAAUGCUCGCCUGCCACGCGGGCGGCCCGGGUUCGAUUCCUGGCCGAUGCA